AGAAUAUUAAUCUCAUUUUUAUAUAAUUCUAAAUAUUCUGAAUUCAUUUGGCAGGGUCUUGCUUUAGUAGGAAUAUUAUCCUCCGGAAAUUCUUCUUUAUAAGGAAGACUAACUAUAUGCUUUUUAUUUCCCAAAAAAUAUUUGGGUGAUCUCCACAUAUUUGCAAGGAGAAUUUAUUUUUCAGUUAAAAUGGUCAUCCUCUGAGCCUCUUUGAGACAAUUAUCCCACCAACCUUUUAAUUGCCCUGUGAAUCCGGAAACAAUUAUAUAAGCAGUAUCCUUCUCAGAAUUUUUGUUGGCUUUGCAAAUGGUGCUGUAUAUGAGAAUUCUAUGGGCCAACGUAUAAAUCUGCCUAUCCGUAAAACCAUCAAUAUUCCAUUCAUAGCUUUCUGUUCCACUGAAACUUUAGAGACAAUAUAUUGUUCUUCCUCUAAAAGAAUAUCCUGAGGGGUUGGCCUAAGAUAAUAGAACAUCUUUUGGACCGGUUUUCUAGCAUGUUUUGCUGAGAUUUUAUUAAUCUCAUCAGGAAUAUUAAUCUCAGUAGGAAUAUUAUUUCUACUAUUAUCUAUUAAAUAAAGAGGAUUAAGUUCUAGAUCUUUAUAAUACUUCUCCUCUAAUAAUCUUUCAAUAUUAUCAAGUUUUGAUAACUUAAAAUCCUUUACCUCAGGUGGAGGCUGGAUACUUGCACUGUGUUUUUCCUUACCUUUGUCAGAGACUUUGGACUUUUCUAUUAUAGAGCAGAUAUGACUGACCUUAUCAUGCAAAGAGAGGAUAUGUUCCCCUAAAAUGCUCAUGUAAAUAUUUGUAUAAUAACUUUGUUGUAUAAGAAUUUUGAUAUGUUUAGUAGUCAAUAAAGCAGUAUCAUCAUUAAAUAAAUCUGCAAAAGUUGUGGAA